rnacentral:rRNA from 1 species
UGCGCCUUGCCAGCCCGCUCAGAAACUUAAAGGAAUUGACGGGGGCCCGCACAAGCGGUGGAGCAUGUGGUUUAAUUCGAUGAUACGCGAGGAACCUUACCUGGGCUCAAAUGUAUGUUGACGUAUUCUGAAAGGGAUACUUCUUCGGACAAUAUACAAGGUGCUGCAUGGUUGUCGUCAGCUCGUGCCGUGAGGUGUCGGGUUAAGUCCCAUAACGAGCGCAACCCCUAUCAUUAGUUGCCAUCAGGUCAAGCUGGGGACUCUAAUGAAACUGCCUACGCAAGUAGUGAGGAAGGUGGGGAUGACGUCAAAUCAGCACGGCCCUUACGUCCAGGGCUACACACGUGCUACAAUGGCCGGUACAAAGGGCAGCUACCUGGUGACAGGAUGCUAAUCUCAAAAGCCGGUCUCAGUUCGGAUCGGAGUCUGCAACCCGACUCCGUGAAGUUGGAAUCGCUAGUAAUCGCGGAUCAGCCAAGCCGCGGUGAAUACGUUCCCGGGCCUU